GAUGAACGCUGACAGAAUGCUUAACACAUGCGAGUCAACUUGAACUUCGGUUUGGGUGGCGGACGGGUGAGUAACGCGUAAAGAACUUGCCUCACAGUUAGGGACAACAUUUGGAAACGAAUGCUAAUACCUGAUAUUAUGAUUUUAGGGCAUCCUAGAAUUAUGAAAGCUAUAUGCGCUGUGAGAGAGCUUUGCGUCCCAUUAGCUAGUUGGAGAGGUAACGGCUCACCAAGGCGAUGAUGGGUAGCCGGCCUGAGAGGGUGAAUGGCCACAAGGGGACUGAGACACGGCCCUUACUCCUACGGGAGGCAGCAGUGGGGAAUAUUGGACAAUGGACCAAGAGUCUGAUCCAGCAAUUCUGUGUGCACGAUGAAGUUUUUCGGAAUGUAAAGUGCUUUCAGUUGGGAAGAAAAAAAUGACGAUACCAACAGAAGAAGUGACGGCUAAAUACGUG
rnacentral:rRNA from 1 species